GAUGAACGCUAGCUACAGGCUUAACACAUGCAAGUCGAGGGGUAGCAGGGUAGCAAUACCGCUGACGACCGGCGCACGGGUGAGUAACACGUAUCCAACCUUCCCAUAACUCGGGGAUAGCCUUUCGAAAGAAAGAUUAAUACCCGAUAGUACUUUUUUGAGGCAUCUUAAUAAAGUUAAAGAUUUAUUGGUUAUGGAUGGGGAGUGCGUUCCAUUAGAUUGUUGGUGAGGUAACGGCUCACCAAGUCUUCGAUGGAUAGGGGUUCUGAGAGGAAGGCCCCCCACAUUGGUACUGAGACACGGACCAAACUCCUACGGGAGGCAGCAGUGAGGAAUAUUGGUCAAUGGGCGAGAGCCUGAACCAGCCAAGUAGCGUGAAGGAUGAAGGUCCUAUGGAUUGUAAACUUCUUUUAUAGUAGAAUAAAGUGAUCCACGUGUGGAUUUUUGUAUGUAUACUAUGAAUAAGGAUCGGCUAACUCCGUG
rnacentral:rRNA from 1 species